rnacentral:rRNA from 1 species
AGCAGCCACCUUUUAAAACGCGUCAAAGCGUAACCUUAACCCCCAAAAUACCACUAAUUUUCAUGAACCCCUAAUUUAUAAUGAAUGACUCCAUAUUUAUAUGGAAGACACCAUGCUAGGAUUAGUAACAAGAAUUUAUAAUUCUCCAAAAUGCAAAUAUAAACCAACAUGGAUGGACCAUUGGUAGUUACCGAACCUAAAUUCAAUGCAAUAACACCUACAAGAAAACUCUGCAGUACUCACUCGUUAACCUAACACCAGCGCAUUACAGGAAAGAUUAAAAAAAAGAGAAGGAAUUCGGCAAAUGACGGCCCCGCCUGUUUACCAAAAACAUCGCCUCUUGACUUAUAAUAAGAGGUCUAGCCUGCCCAGUGAAUUUUAAACGGCCGCGGUAUCCUAACCGCGCGAAGGUAGCAUAAUCACUUGUUCUUUAAAUGGGGACUCGUAUCAACGGCAUCACGAGGGUUUUACUGUCUCCUCUUUUUGAUCAGUGAAAUUGAUCUUCCCGUGAAGAAGCGGGAAUAAAUUUAUAAGACGAGAAGACCCCAUGGAGCUUUAAACCAAAUAACAACUUAACCACUCACCCCAUGAUAAAUUUAAGCCCUGUUAUAAGGUUUUUGGUUGGGGUGACCGCGGAGUAAAGCAUAUCCUCCACGACGAAAAGAACAGAAUCUUUAUUUAAGAACCACACUUCUAGAAAUUAGUAUACUAACGUUUACUGACCCGACAAUCGAUCAACGGACCAAGUUACCCUGGGGAUAACAGCGCAAUCUACUUCAAGAGCUCAUAUCGACAAGUAGGCUUACGACCUCGAUGUUGGAUCAGGGUAUCCCGGUGGUGCAGCCGCUACCGAAGGUUCGUUUGUUCAACGAUUAAAACCCUACGUGAUCUG